GACGAACGCUGGCGGCGUGCUUAACACAUGCAAGUCGUACGGUAAGGCCCUUUCGGGGGUCCACGAGUGGCGAACGGGUGAGUAACACGUGAGUAACCUGCCCACAACUUUGGGAUAACGCUAGGAAACUGGUGCUAAUACUGGAUAUGUGCUCCUGCUGCAUGGUGGGGGUUGGAAAGCUCCGGCGGUUGUGGAUGGACUCGCGGCCUAUCAGCUUGUUGGUGGGGUAGUGGCCUACCAAGGCGGCGACGGGUAGCCGGCCUGAGAGGGUGACCGGCCACAUUGGGACUGAGAUACGGCCCAGACUCCUACGGGAGGCAGCAGUGGGGAAUAUUGCACAAGGGGCGCAAGCCUGAUGCAGCAACGCCGCGUGCGGGAUGACGGCCUUCGGGUUGUAAACCGCGUUCAGCAGGGACGAAGCUUUUUGUGACGGUACCUGCAGAAGAAGCACCGGCUAACUACGUG
rnacentral:rRNA from 1 species